AUUGAACGCUGGCGGCAUGCCUUACACAUGCAAGUCGAACGGCAGCACGGGUGCUUGCACCUGGUGGCGAGUGGCGAACGGGUGAGUAAUACAUCGGAACGUACCUUAUCGUGGGGGGUAACGCAGCGAAAGCUGUGCUAAUACCGCAUACGCCCUGAGGGGGAAAGCGGGGGAUCGCAAGACCUCGCGCGAUUAGAGCGGCCGAUGCCUGAUUAGCUUGUUGGUGGGGGAAAAGCCCACCAAGGCGACGAUCAGUAGCUGGUCUGAGAGGACGAUCAGCCACACUGGGACUGAGACACGGCCCAGACUCCUACGGGAGGCAGCAGUGGGGAACUUUGGACAAUGGGGGCAACCCUGAUCCAGCAAUGCCGCGUGAGUGAAGAAGGCCUUCGGGUUGUAAAGCUCUUUUGUCAGGGAAGAAACACCGGCUCUAACACAGUCUGGGAAUGACGGUACCUGAAGAAUAAGCACCGGCUAACUACGUGCCAGCCGCCGCAGUAA
rnacentral:rRNA from 1 species